GAAUAUCCAACUAACAUGAUUUAACCGAAAUCAUCAAAUUCUUGAGAAUACAACAACAAUAAAAGCAAUAACCGUUCUCCAUUUUAAUUCCCACCAAAUAACAGAACUAUUUCAGUAAUUAGAUCCUAACUUCAACCACAGAAGAAAAUGGGUCGCCUCCUUGGAUUCUUCUACACAAAGGUUAAAACAACGACCAAGACCCUGAAUAAAAAAUUAUAGCUCAGAUUCAUUAUACAAUCAUAAUACUCAAAUAGUAUUAUAUACAUAACAUACAGUCAUGAAUUUUUCAUAACAUAUGGACGGAUAACAAAAAAAUAGUCGUUUUUUAAUGUUAAAAUCAUGCAAGUGAAAGAAAAGUUGAACUAAUUAAAAUGUGAAUUCAAAAAUAGCAAUCAAAGGAUUCUGAACAUUGUCAAUAGACGAAGGAACACAAAAGAAGUGGCUCAUAAUUAAGUAACUUAAACAGAAAUGAGAAAAGAAAAUAAACACAUUACUUUUUGAGUCUAAAAGUACCCAAUUACAGAUUAAUAGCAGCACCUCCAAACUUCAUAAUAACAAGCUUACAAUGCAUCAUCAUCAUACCCAUAAUAUAUAUAUAUAUAUAUAUAUAUAUAUAUAUAUAUAUAUAUAUAUGCGUGUAAUGAUACACGCAUACAUAAAUGUAUACAUACACACACAUACAUACAUAAAUGUGUGUAAUGAUAGAAAGAAAGUACUAGAACAUACUCCCUCUGGGUGUGAAUGAAAAGCCCCAGAUCCAAUGGAAGCAUGUUGGGAUUUUAGACCUCUGUAGAAUCAUAUACUACUUCGAAUAAUAAUAACAAUAAUCAGUACUAGCAGCAGUAGUAGUAGUGAAUUUGAA
rnacentral:lncRNA from 1 species